rnacentral:rRNA from 1 species
UGGGAAUCUUGGACAAUGGGCGCAAGCCUGAUCCAGCCAUGCCGCGUGAGCGAUGAAGGCCUUAGGGUUGUAAAGCUCUUUCACCGGUGAAGAUAAUGACGGUAGCCGGAGAAGAAGCCCCGGCUAACUCCGUGCCAGCAGCCGCGGUAAUACGGAGGGGGCGUAGCGUUGUUCGGAAUUACUGGGCGUAAAGCGCGCGUAGGCGGACUGAUCAGUCAGGGGUGAAAUCCCGGGGCUCAACCCCGGAACUGCCUUUGAUACUGUCAGUCUUGAGUCCGGAAGAGGCGAGUGGAAUACCGAGUGUAGAGGUGAAAUUCGUAAAUAUUCGGUGGAACACCAGUGGCGAAGGCGACUCGCUGGUCCGGUACUGACGCUGAGGUGC